AAUUUUGGACAAUGGGGGAAACUCUGAUCCAUCCAUCCCGCGUGUAUGGUGAUGGCCUUCGUUUUGUAAAGUACUUUUGGCAGUGAAGAAAAGGUAUCUCCUAAUACGAUAUACCGCUGACGGUAUCUGCAGAAUAAGCACCGGCUAACUACGUGCCAGCAGCCGCGGUAAUACGUAGGGUGCAAGCGUUAAUCGGAAUGACUGGGCGUAAAGCGUGUGUAGGCGGUUCGGAAAGAAAGAUGUGAAAUCCCAGGGCUCAACCUUGGAACUGCAUUUUUAACUGCCGAGCUAGAGUAUGUCAGAGGGGGGUAGAAUUCCACGUGUAGCAGUGAAAUGCGUAGAUAUGUGGAGGAAUACCGAUGGCGAAGGCAGCCCCCUGGGAUAAUACUGACGCUCAGACACGAAAGCGUGGGGAGCAAACAGG
rnacentral:rRNA from 1 species